GGGGAGGUGCCAGAGUGGUUGAUUGGGGCCGCCUGCUAAGCGGUUGUGCGCCAAAAGCGUACCGCAGGUUCGAAUCCUGUCCUCCCCG
rnacentral:tRNA from 1 species